rnacentral:rRNA from 1 species
AGGACGAACGCUGGCGGCGUGCUUAACACAUGCAAGUGGUGCGACGAACCAGGGCUUGCCCUGGGGCUAAGCCGCGAACGGGUGAGUAACACGUGAGUAAUCUGCCCCGAUGACCGGGACAAUCCGAGGAAACUCGGGCUAAUACCGGAUGUGGUGCACGGGUAUAAGCCUGUGUACUAAAGGAAGCUUCGGCCUCCGCAUUGGGAGGAGCUCGCGGCCCAUUAGCUUGUUGGUGGGGUAACGGCCUACCAAGGCAACGAUGGGUAGC